GGUAAUCGUUAUAACAGGUAUUUUGCUGUCUCUGAAGAUUGUCUGGCUUGGUGUGUGUAUAAAGUUGGUCCUUCAGAUGAACGACGAUCUUCGAAUUCAACUGACCAAUUUACUGAGAAGUUUUUCAUACAUCAGAGGACAGUGGUUUUAUUUAUUUGGUGAACUGCAGUGUUGUGGACUGAACUCUAGCAAUGAUUUUUGUACUCUGAGUUCUUC